rnacentral:rRNA from 1 species
UUUGAAUGGCCGCAGUAUAUUAACUGUGCAAAGGUAGCAUAAUCAUUAGUCUUUUAAUUGGAGGCUUGUAUGAAUGGUUGGACGAAAUAUUAACUGUUUCAUAUAAAUUUAUAUUAGAAUUUUAUUUUUUAGUCAAAAAGCUAAAAUUUAUUUAAAAGACGAGAAGACCCUAUAAAUCUUUAUAUUUAAAUUAUUAAAUUAAAAUAAAUUUUAUUUAUUUUAAUAAUUAAUGAUAUUUUAUUGGGGUGAUAUUAAAAUUUAAUUAACUUUUAUUUUUAAAAAUCAUUAAUUAGUGAAUAAUUGAUCCAUUAUUAGUGAUUAAAAAUUUAAGUUACUUUAGGGAUAACAGCGUAAUUUUUUUGGAAAGUUCAUAUUAAUAAAAAAGAUUGCGACCUCGAUGUUGGAUUAAGAAAUAAUUUUAGGUGUAGUUGCUUAAAUU